rnacentral:tRNA from 1 species
GGGACGUUAGUAAAUCAAUUACAUGGCUUUGUCAAAGCCAAACUACAGGUGAAAACCCUGUACGCCCCU